UGGCUCAGGAUGAACGCUAGCGGCAGGCUUAACACAUGCAAGUCGAGGGGCAUCGGGAGUAGCAAUACUUGCCGGCGACCGGCGCAAGGGUGCGUAACGCGUGAGCAACAUGCCCGUAUCAGGGGGAUAAUCCAUGGAAACGUGGUCUAAUACCCCAUAGUAAUUAUGUAAGGCAUCUUAUAUAAUUUAAAGCUUUGGUGGAUACGGAUUGGCUCGCGUGACAUUAGCUAGAUGGUAAGGUAACGGCUUACCAUGGCUACGAUGUCUAGGGGUCCUGAGAGGAAGGUCCCCCACACUGGAACUGAGACACGGUCCAGACUCCUACGGGAGGCAGCAGUGAGGAAUAUUGGACAAUGGAUGGAAAUCUGAUCCAGCCAUGCCGCGUGCAGGAAAGACGGCCCUAUGGGUUGUAAACUGCUUUUGUAUGGGAGCAAUAAGGGCUACGUGUAGUCCGAUGAGAGUACCAUACGAAUAAGCACCGGCUAACUCCGUGCCAGCCGCUGC
rnacentral:rRNA from 1 species